rnacentral:lncRNA from 1 species
AACUUGAUACAAACCUCAUUGCUCAAUCAAAUUAAGCUAAUUAGUAAUUUUAUUGCUAGUUAAUCCUCCUAUAACUUACUAAUGAAGGGAAGAAAAUAGUUUUCCUCCAGAAUGUCCAGGUUGCAACUAAAAAUUUUUUUCUAAUGUUCUACUUAUUUAAAGAUCAAAUUCUUACUAGAAUCAUAGUGGAACUAAGGAUCAAAUCUUAAAUUAUCUAAUAUAAACCUUCACAGAGGCCUGAAUAUGCAGACCCUCUACUUCGCAUGCACGUCAGACAU